rnacentral:rRNA from 1 species
UACGGAGGGGGCUAGCGUUGUUCGGAAUUACUGGGCGUAAAGCGCACGUAGGCGGCUUUGGAAGUUAGAGGUGAAAGCCCAGGGCUCAACCCUGGAAUUGCCUUUAAGACUGCAUCGCUUGAACAUCGGAGAGGUAAGUGGAAUUCCGAGUGUAGAGGUGAAAUUCGUAGAUAUUCGCAAGAACACCAGUGGCGAAGGCGACUUACUGGACACAUAUUGACGCUGAGGUGCGAAAGCGUGGGGAGCAAACAGG